rnacentral:rRNA from 1 species
CCUACGGGAGGCUGCAGUGGGGAAUAUUGCACAAUGGGCGCAAGCCUGAUGCAGCCAUGCCGCGUGUGUGAAGAAGGCCUUCGGGUUGUAAAGCACUUUCAGCGGGGAGGAAGGCGGUGAGGUUAAUAACCUCAUCGAUUGACGUUACCCGCAGAAGAAGCACCGGCUAACUCCGUGCCAGCAGCCGCGGUAAUACGGAGGGUGCAAGCGUUAAUCGGAAUUACUGGGCGUAAAGCGCACGCAGGCGGUCUGUCAAGUCGGAUGUGAAAUCCCCGGGCUCAACCUGGGAACUGCAUUCGAAACUGGCAGGCUAGAGUCUUGUAGAGGUGGGUAGAAUUCCAGGUGUAGCGGUGAAAUGCGUAGAGAUCUGGAGGAAUACCGGUGGCGAAGGCGGCUCUCUGGCCUGUAACUGACGCUGAGGCGCGAAAGCGUGGGGAGCGAACAGGAUUAGAUACCCGGGUAGUC